rfam:Orchesella cincta Ocin01_Sc0034, whole genome shotgun sequence.
UAGCUUUACCCUUCAAGAGAGCAAUCCGUCGACAGUUUAGUUUACGUACUGUCAUGGAGACGCUCUCUUUAAGUCGGAAAGC